rnacentral:pre_miRNA from 1 species
UGCCGGGCUGGGGCCGGGCGGGCUGUGAUCGACCUGGAGGUCCCUGGAUAUGGCACCUUCGAGGUUGUGGUCACACACUCAGUCCGGGGACCUCGGCCCAGUUGCUGGUGCUAUGCUCUGACUACCCGACAAGCAAGCUUGGGGCCGCCCCCCACAUUGGUCCUGCGGUAGUCAGAACAGAGCACUAGCGACUGGGCCGAGGUAACCCGCACUGAGUGCGUGACCACAACCUCGAAGGUGCCAUAUCCAGGGACCUCCAGGUCGAUCACAGCCCGCCCGGCCCCAGCGCGGCA